rnacentral:tRNA from 1 species
GGGGCUAUAGCUCAGUGGUAGAGUGCUUGCCUUGCAUGUAUGAGGUACUGAGUUUGAUCCUCAGCACCACA